rnacentral:rRNA from 5 species
GAAGUCGUAACAAGGUUUCCGUAGGUGAACCUGCGGAAGGAUCAU